rnacentral:rRNA from 1 species
UACGGAGGGUGCAAGCGUUAUCCGGAUUCACUGGGUUUAAAGGGCGCGUAGGCGGCCACCGCAAGUCGGUUGUGAAAUCUCCGGGCUUAACCCGGAAAGGUCAAUCGAUACUGCGGGGCUAGAGUGCAGAAGGGGCAACUGGAAUUCUCGGUGUAGCGGUGAAAUGCGUAGAUAUCGAGAGGAACACCUGCGGCGAAGGCGGGUUGCUGGGCUGACACUGACGCUGAAGCGCGAAAGCUAGGGGAGCGAACGGG